CAAAGGAAUUGACGGGGCCCCGCACAAGCGGUGGAGCAUGUUGUUUAAUACGUCACUAACCGUAGAACCUUACCAGGGUUUGACAUCCUGCGUCAUGCCAUGAAAGUGGUCUUCUCCGCAAGGGGACGCAGAGACAGGUGUUGCAUGGCUGUCGUCAGCUCGUGUCGUGAGAUGUUGGGUUAAGUCCCGCAACGAGCGCAACCCUCAUCCCCUGUUGCCAGCGAGUGAAGUCGGGAACUCUGGGGAAACUGCCGGGGUAACUCGGAGGAAGGCGAGGACGACGUCAAGUCAGCAUGGCCCUUACACCCUGGGCUACAAACAUGCUACAAUGGACGGCAGACAGAGGGAUGCAAGGGGGUGACCCGGAGCCAAUCUCAGAAAUCCGUUCUCAGUUCGGAUCGCAGGCUGCAACUCGCCUGCGUGAAGUCGGAAUCGCUAGUAACCGCAGGUCAGCCAAACUGCGGUGAAUACGUUCCCGGGGCUUGUACUCACCGCCCGUC
rnacentral:rRNA from 1 species